rnacentral:rRNA from 1 species
AGGAGGCAGCAGUGGGGAAUCUUCGGCAAUGGGCGCAAGCCUGACCGAGCCAUGCCGCGUGAGCGAUGAAGGCCUUAGGGUUGUAAAGCUCUUUCGCCAGGGAUGAUAAUGACAGUACCUGGUAAAGAAACCCCGGCUAACUCCGUGCCAGCAGCCGCGGUAAUACGGAGGGGGUUAGCGUUGUUCGGAAUUACUGGGCGUAAAGCGCACGUAGGCGGAUUGGAAAGUUAGAGGUGAAAUCCCAGGGCUCAACCCUGGAACUGCCUUUAAAACUCCCAGUCUUGAGUUCGAGAGAGGUGAGUGGAAUUCCGAGUGUAGAGGUGAAAUUCGUAGAUAUUCGGAGGAACACCAGUGGCGAAGGCGGCUCACUGGCUCGAUACUGACGCUGAGGUGCGAAAGUGUGGGGAGCAAACAGGAUUAGAUACCCGAGUAGUCC